UGUUGGUUUGGUUUCUGAUUUUUUAUGCAAAUGUAUGAGAAGUCUGGAAAGAUAGAAACGCAAGGGUCCAUGGGGGAAAAAUCAAAUCAAAAAAAUGAUCUCUUGGCUGCAAGUCCGGCAGAAUAUUUGCUUACAAAGUUCUUCUAUAUAUAUUUUUAAAGGAUAUACCAUCAAUCAGGUGCUUUUCAAAUGGGAGGAUGUGGUUAUUCAAAGUGUAUUAUAGCCAUGACUGCUGCCUAAUGGGUUAUCCUUUCUGAUGCUAAUGUUCCUUGUGAAGGGGAACACAAAAUUAUGUCUUAUGUUCGUCUGCAAAGAAACCUUCCUGGUUUCAAACCAAAUACUCGUCACCGCCUCUAUGGUUUAACAGGUGUAUUCCACGGAAUCAAGAAAGAUGGCGAGGGUUACACGGUUGAUUGCAAGAGUAGGUUGGAACUUCUUAUGGUGUCAUCUCCUGAUCGAGAAGAGCUGGAUGGGAGGAUGAUGACACUAUAGGCGAAGCCGCAUGUCAUGAAGACUUGGAGGAAGCUGGAGUUAAAGGAAUACUAAAUGAAAGUCCCUUGGGAAUGUGGGAAUUCAAAAGUAAAAGCAGAUAGAACUGCUGCAGUACGGAAGGAUCUUGCAGGCUUUAUAUGUUUGCAUUGGAAUUGACUGAAGAACUUGAUACCUGGAUAAAGGAGGAUAACCAUGGAAGAAAAUGGGUGUUGAAGCUGCUGAUCUUGUACUUCCGAUUUCUGUUGCAGUUUUGUUUAUCCGGUUUUACAAUAUAGCACUUCAGCAUGUGCGUGACCUUUACCUGGAGUUAAGGAAGAAAUAUAGGGACCAUACAUAUGCGCUGCAAAGUUUGUAACUCAGUGGACCUGUUUUCAGAAGAAUACAUUUCGUGAGUUUCUAUAUGUACACUAGUUUGCCGUGAUACUUGGCAUACAUUUGUAUCAAAACUUUUUGUUCAACUUCAAUUGAAGA